AACCGCAGACCACGUGAAAAAAGUUUAAUCUGGGCUAAGGAGAAAAAUAACUGGACUGUUGUUCAGUGGUCCAAAGUCCUGUUUAUAGAUGAAAGCAAAUUUU